GCCAGUGUGCUGCAAGGCAAGGGCUUGUCGUUGCUAUUAAAAUAAUUUCACAGAGGAAAAUCGGCUUUUUGGGAGAAAUCUAUUCAGAGAACAGAUGUGGUAGUGGGAGUCAGCUUCCAGCAGGUGAUGCAGAGUGCUGAGACAGAUGACGACAGGCUGGGCUUCAGUUCCCUCACCUGGAGAGUGAUGAGAACACCAGCGCAAAAUUCCAGGGCCAUUGGGAAGAUGGAAUGAAAUAGUACAUGUAAUGGCUCGCAUCCAUAGUGCCUGGAACAUAACAAAUGCUCGUAAAGGAACAGAUUGCUCAAAAAUCAGACGACUGUUGGGUGAAAUGCGAGUGGGGAAAGGAGUGAGAUGAAGGGAACAGAGCCCUUCCAAACUCGCCCUUCAGCCUUCCUACCCAAUCAGAAAGGAAAUCAGUCAUGCCCACAAUCCUGCCAAUAACACAGUGUAGCGGCUGCAUUCUUUGGACCAAUGACAGUGAGCUGUAGAAGAAAUCUCAUUUGGAGAAGAGAUGGGGGCUUGUGUUUACUGAACAUCUACUACGAAUCAGGCCCUGUGCUUUUUUUUGCAUCUGUUCUCUUCUAAAGGGGAAUCAGGAUCCUGGCUGAGGGACCCUGGACUAUUUCACCUUUCAGGAUCUCAGUUUCUUUAGACCAAAAACACUAACUCUUAUUUUUUUGUUGCACUUUUUUAAAAAAAAUUAAACUUUAAGUUCUGGGGUACAUGUGCAGAAUGUGCAGGUUUGUUACAUAGGUAUACAAGUGCCAUGGUGGUUUGCUGCACCCAUCAACCCAUCAUCUACACUAGAUAUUUCAACUGAUGCUAUCCCUCCCCUAGCCCCCCAACCCCAAGACAGGCCCCAGUGUGUGAUGUUCCCUUCCCUGUGUCCAUGUGUUCUCAUUGUUCAGCUCCCACUUAUGAGUGAGAACAUGUGGUGUUUGGUUUUCUGUUCUUGUGUUAAUUUGCUGAGAAAGAUGGUUUCCAGCUUCAUCCAUGUCCCUGCAAAGGACAUGAACUCAUCCUUUUUAAUGGCUGCAUAGUAUUCCAUGGUGCAUAUCUGCCACAUUUUCUUUAUCCAGUCUAUCAUUGAUAGGCAUAAUUCCUAUUCUUUAAAAAAUUUUUUUUUGUAGAGAUGGGGUCUUGGUAUGUUUCCCAGGCUGGUCUCAAACUCCUGGGCUCAAGUGA
rnacentral:lncRNA from 10 species